AGAGUUUGAUCCUGGCUCAGGACGAACGCUGGCGGCGUGCUUAACACAUGCAAGUCGAGCGAUGAAACUUCCUUCGGGGAGUGGAUUAGCGGCGGACGGGUGAGUAACACGUGGGUAACCUGCCUCAAAGUGGGGGAUAGCCUUCCGAAAGGAAGAUUAAUACCGCAUAAUAUAAGAGAAUCGCAUGAUUUUCUUAUCAAAGAUUUAUUGCUUUGAGAUGGACCCGCGGCGCAUUAGCUAGUUGGUAAGGUAACGGCUUACCAAGGCAACGAUGCGUAGCCGACCUGAGAGGGUGAUCGGCCACAUUGGAACUGAGACACGGUCCAGACUCCUACGGGAGGCAGCAGUGGGGAAUAUUGCGCAAUGGGGGAAACCCUGACGCAGCAACGCCGCGUGGGUGAUGAAGGUCUUCGGAUUGUAAAGCCCUGUUUUCUAGGACGAUAAUGACGGUACUAGAGGAGGAAGCCACGGCUAACUACGUGCCAGCAGCCGCGGUAAUACGUAGGUGGCGAGCGUUGUCCGGAUUUACUGGGCGUAAAGGGUGCGUAGGCGGAUGUUUAAGUGGGAUGUGAAAUCCCCGGGCUUAACCUGGGGGCUGCAUUCCAAACUGGAUAUCUAGAGUGCAGGAGAGGAAAGCGGAAUUCCUAGUGUAGCGGUGAAAUGCGUAGAGAUUAGGAAGAACACCAGUGGCGAAGGCGGCUUUCUGGACUGUAACUGACGCUGAGGCACGAAAGCGUGGGUAGCAAACAGGAUUAGAUACCCUGGUAGUCCACGCCGUAAACGAUGGAUACUAGGUGUAGGGGGUAUCAACUCCCCCUGUGCCGCAGUUAACACAAUAAGUAUCCCGCCUGGGGAGUACGGUCGCAAGAUUAAAACUCAAAGGAAUUGACGGGGGCCCGCACAAGCAGCGGAGCAUGUGGUUUAAUUCGAAGCAACGCGAAGAACCUUACCUGGACUUGACAUCCCUUGCAUAGCCUAGAGAUAGGUGAAGCCCUUCGGGGCAAGGAGACAGGUGGUGCAUGGUUGUCGUCAGCUCGUGUCGUGAGAUGUUAGGUUAAGUCCUGCAACGAGCGCAACCCUUGUUAUUAGUUGCUACCAUUAAGUUGAGCACUCUAAUGAGACUGCCUGGGUAACCAGGAGGAAGGUGGGGAUGACGUCAAAUCAUCAUGCCCCUUAUGUCCAGGGCUACACACGUGCUACAAUGGUAGGUACAAUAAGACGCAAGACCGUGAGGUGGAGCAAAACUUAUAAAACCUAUCUCAGUUCGGAUUGUAGGCUGCAACUCGCCUACAUGAAGCUGGAGUUGCUAGUAAUCGCGAAUCAGAAUGUCGCGGUGAAUACGUUCCCGGGCCUUGUACACACCGCCCGUCACACCAUGAGAGCUGGUAACACCCGAAGUCCGUGAGGUAACCGUAAGGAGCCAGCGGCCGAAGGUGGGAUUAGUGAUUGGGGUGAAGUCGUAACAAGGUAGCCGUAGGAGAACCUGCGGCUGGAUCACCUCC
rnacentral:rRNA from 2 species